UACAGAGGGGGCAAGCGUUGUUCGGAAUUACUGGGCGUAAAGGGCGCGUAGGCGGCCUUCUAAGUCGAACGUGAAAUCCCCGGGCUCAACCCGGGAACUGCGUCCGAUACUGGAAGGCUUGAAUCCGGGAGAGGGAUGUGGAAUUCCAGGUGUAGCGGUGAAAUGCGUAGAUAUCUGGAGGAAUACCGGUGGCGAAGGCGGCAUCCUGGACCGACAUUGACGCUGAUGAGCGAAAGCCAGGGGAGCAAACGGG
rnacentral:rRNA from 1 species